rnacentral:sRNA from 1 species
AUCCGAUGCUUUAGCCGAGCCUUCGAGCCAUUAAAAAAGCCGCGCAGGAUGCGCGGCUUUUUUGUUGUCGAAGA